GUGAAAGGAGCAGACUUACUAAAAGCACAUCGCCACCAUAGAAAGUCAUCCAACUGUUGAAUAGGAUAGAGCACAGAGAAAUCUACUAUCUUGAGGAGAAGAUAACUGACAUCAAAAUAAGAUUGAACGUCCUUGUAAUAAAUUUGGAAUUAUGAAAAAGAGCUUAAGCUACUUGAGGUACUUCCAACGUCCUCAGUUUGCCUGGCAAUAUUCACCAAAUGGCAAGCCAGGAGGCAAAGAUUUACAUUCACUUAACUGACCAUCUGAUUGUCCCUACUGAAAUUUAGCUUAGCCAGUCCACCUCACCGAAAGUAAAAAUAGGUUCUGCCGUCAACACAACACUAAACACACGGAAACGACUGAAGAUUUGAAAGAAUAAAUCAUGACUUAGAGUAACUUCUGUUGAGGAAACAAAUUAUUUAAUCAAUGCAUUUACAUAAUCCAGCCAGGCUAAGAUAUUAAUUCAAAUUCUACUACUUUGUUUCUUCUCCUACAAUAUUAACACUUUGUACUUUCACACCUCUGGUUAUUCACAGGAGAAGAAAGUUCAUCUGAGAAAAACUAUUUAAUUGAAUUCAACAAAGAAGUAUCCAGUCCCUACUGAUUUUUUAAAUAUUAUUUUAAGAUCUACAAAUCACUUUACAUUCACUGGACCCUCACAGCAACUCUAUGAGAAACGGACAGCCCAGGACCAUGGAUGCAAAAACCCUGGUUGCAGUAGAACUCCACUGGCCCAGCUUUGAGCCUACUCUUCACCACCAUCAGCCAAAAAUUCAGCCCUUGUGGAGACUUGACCUAGCAACUGCUUCUUCAAGUCUACUAACUCCAACCCCCUCAAAAGACACAAUUGUUUAGAGACCUGGUAAAGAAAAGUUUGGCCAUCAAAAUCCUUAGCACUGUCAAAUGGUUCAACGUCAAAAAAUAAAUAUGGCUUUAUCAGUGGAAAUAUGGCAUUCAAGAUGCAGCAUUACCACCCACUUUGAUUAUCUGCCCUAUGGACUAUGAUAUGUAUUAUUACAGUGAUCAAGCCUGACUAUGAAUGAAAAAGAGAGAAAGACCUCCUCUGCAGAGGUGGGGAGGACUAUGGGUAAGAACAACACAUUUUAUCAGACUGGUGUGUUGGUUAUUUUUGCUGAACUGCUUUUUUGCCUUCUCUUUCUUUCCUGCUUUCUUUCUUUUU